rnacentral:lncRNA from 1 species
UUUCGGAGAGGAGUUGUAUAGAUUGUAUUGGAUGUGCAUCGAAAUUGCUAAUCGAUUUCAGUUUUGAAACUUCGACUUGUCAAUAGUUUUAUGGUACGAUGAAUUUGGUAAAAAAUUUUGUGAAAAGAAAUAGAUGUCUGUAGUGGGUAGCGGAGGGAUUCGAGUCGAAUCUGUUAUUCUUUGUUUUGCCCUAGAGUCGCGAUAGGUCGAUUUUGUAUUGACAAACUUUGUAUUCUCUUUUUUUUUAUAUAUAGUAAAAUUUUUUC